AGCAGUAGCCACGGUAAUACGUAGGUGGCAAGCGUUGUCCGGAAUUAUUGGGCGUAAAGGGCUCGCAGGCGGUUUCUUAAGUCUGAUGUGAAAGCCCCCGGCUCAACCGGGGAGGGUCAUUGAAAACUGGGAAACUUGAGUGCAGAAGAGGAGAGUGGAAUUCCACGUGUAGCGGUGAAAUGCGUAGAGAUGUGGAGGAACACCAGUGGCGAAGGCGACUCUCUGGUCUGUAACUGACGCUGAGGAGCGAAAGCGUGGGGAGCGAACAGGAUUAGAGACCCCAGUAGUCCCUGUCUCUUAUAC
rnacentral:rRNA from 1 species